rnacentral:rRNA from 1 species
AGGACGAACGCUGGCGGCGUGCUUAACACAUGCAAGUCGAGCGGAAAGGCCCUUCGGGGUACUCGAGCGGCGAACGGGUGAGUAACACGUGGGCAACCUGCCCCUAGCUCUGGGAUAACUCCGGGAAACCGGUGCUAAAUACCAGAUACGACCACUUUAGACAUCUGCUGUGGUGGAAAGAAUUUCGGCUAGGGAUGAGCUCGCGGCCUAUCAGCUUGUUGGUGAGGUAACGGCUCACCAAGGCGACGACGGGUA